rnacentral:rRNA from 1 species
UACGUAGGGGACGAGCGUUGUCCGGAAUUACUGGGCGUAAAGGGUGCGUAGGUGGUUUCUUAAGUCAGAGGUGAAAGGCUACGGCUCAACCGUAGUAAGCCUUUGAAACUGGGAAACUUGAGUGCAGGAGAGGAGAGUGGAAUUCCUAGUGUAGCGGUGAAAUGCGUAGAUAUUAGGAGGAACACCAGUUGCGAAGGCGGCUCUCUGGACUGUAACUGACACUGAGGCACGAAAGCGUGGGGAGCAAACAGGAUUAGAUACCCGGGUAGUCCCUGAGCGGGCU